AAAAAGCAGAGUCGAGGUCUAGGAUUGUGGCUCAACAAGAUGAUUCAGUUACUUUCUGGUUAUAAGCAGAUACCUGAAAAUUGUGAAAUUGAUAUAAACCCAGAUCUUCAAAGCAACUGAUGACCAAGGGGACUGUGAUAUAAUAGCCACAUAUUCUUUACCAGUGUUAGGUUUUAGUUAAUAAACAUUACUAUGGAGCUGAAAAA